CAGCUUCGGCCAAAGGGGUGAAGUCAGGCGUGGCGGCGGCGAUUGAUGGACUGCGCCGCACGCACACCGUUUUGCAGACGUAUACACAUUCCUGCGAGCACACAGAACUGCAGGCGCGCUUGAGAGGAUCAUAGACACACGCUAAUAGGCAUAGAAUCAGGACCACAGCAGGCUGAGCCUCACCGCACAUCGUCCACCGCGGCCACCACGGCACACGACUAUGUGAGCGACGGCGAUAAGCGUAAUCUUCGCCAGGAAAGUAGCUCGGCUCUGUCUCUCCUCGUCGGCUUCGUAGAGCGCGCUCCCCGCCCGCACACGCAGUGCUGCUUCGUUAUGCCGCCGAAGCGUAAGGGUGCACGAGCUGUGCCUGCUCCGAAAACAUCGAAGUCGCGCACGGCCUCCGCGGCAGUAGCUAGUGCAGAUGGCCAAUUCGACCCCGCGACCGCAACGAGGGCCAAGAUCCCGACGGCGCUACCCGCGGAACCAACUGGGCGCAAGCGUGGGCGGCCGCAAAGCGCGGGCGCGUUGCCAGCCAAGGCAGCGGGAGCCUCGGCGCCACUUCAGCCGUGCGUGCCACAAGUGUCUGCGGGUGCGCAAAAGCCGAAACGAAGGGCUGGCGCCGGCAAUGCAGCUGCCUCGUCCACAGCGACUGGGCAAGCAGCCGCACAGACACCUCAGCCUCCACCAGAAAAGGUGGCACGGACAGAGCUGCCCCAGCCCGUCGUUUCAAGGCCUACAUUAAUGGCUGCUGUCGCGGCAUCGGCCAUCAAAGAAGUGGGGACCGCCAGGCACCACAAUGCAAGCACAGCGGACGAGGACCAACCCGAGAGCGUCUCCCUGCUUCGUCGCUAUCUCCCUUUCCCGGUCCCGGCGUCCACUAACAGCAGUGGCGCCUCGGAUGCACAGGAGUGGAACAUAAGUGACGCCGUGGUCUUCUCGACGUAUCUCGCCGAGGUGCAGUCCCACCUAACUCGCCACUGCUGCCGGCAACUCGCGCGGCUCACCACAUCAACCGCGCCAGCCUUCUUGCACGCUGCAGCCCUGGGCGAAGCAGCGCUGGCAGCCUCCCCAACACCACACAUGUUGGCUCACGCAAGCAGCGGCCCUGACGAUCAAGGGUCGCUGUCGCCGGUAGAGCAACUGGUUGACAGGCAGGAGCAGGCAUAUCGCACACUUCGGGCCACCAUCGCUGCCUCCUGCGCUCUAGGUCACCGCUCCUGCCAGGUACUAUGGGGGCCGCGCGGCAGCGGCAAGCACCGCAUUCUGCGUCUUCUCGCUCACGACGUUCGUCGCACCCCCAACACCUUCGUAAUAGAGCUGCAGGGGCGGCUGCUGAAGGACGACGAGGCCGCUCUCGGCGUCAUUGCCCAGCAGCUGCUCUCCUUCUUACAAAGCCCGCAGUCCGCGCAGCUGCGCGCCGUGCAUUACCUCUUGCGCACCGGCACCUUCGGGUUUGGCCAGCUAUUUCACUUCGAGCGGCACAUGCAGGACGGCGACAUGGUGGCGGCCGCGGCGACAGCGCCAGGACUCAGCGCACGCGCUAUGGACGGUGCGGAUACGUUACUCCUGCACACGUCUCAACACAUGACUGGAGACGGCGGCCGAAGCGGCGCGACUCGGCGGCAGCGCCCGUCAACGGUAACUGCCCCGCCCACGAAAGCUCCGCACCGAGGGGCGAGGCGUGCGCGCUGGCGCUUGAGUCGCCCCGCGCCUGGUGAUCGGGCCGACAGCAACGCGGACGGGUCGGCUGAGGAUGCGGAGGGCGAUGCUACCGAGGACGAAGAAGCCGUGCAAGGGAGCGGCGUCAUGGUGACGUCCACCACGACAUACCUCACCGGCGGGGCGGCGAGUGCCCUGCCUCAUCUCCAGCAAGCGCUUCUCCUCCUGAAGAGCCUAGGUUGCAGCAUUGUCGUGUGCGUCCGCGACAUCGACGUUUUCGGCAUCCGCUGCGAUCAACUCCUCUACGUCCUCUCCGGUCUCAUGCACGAUAGUGACGGAGGCGGCGGCGGUGCAGGUGGUGGCGGAGGGCUGUCUCUCGUGCUGGCGUCCGCCGCGCCUGACAUCCGCCAGCUGGAGAAGCGGCUCUCCAGUCGUCUAACUUGCGAGACGCGGUACGUGCCGCUGUUGCCCUGGUCCUUGCGCAACCUGCUUGCCGCUACGCUGCACACAAUGGCGCAGGACGCGUCGCACCAGGUUUGCAUGAAGGAGGUUGGUCGACAAAGGGCGGACCUAGUCGCAACUCUGCGUUGUGGUGCGACGAAACUGCGACAGAGCACGGAGGGCGGCGGCAAGAUCCAAAAGCGUGAGCAGGAGGCGCUGAAAAAGUCGAUGGCUGACCUGGAGGCGCGACUGCACGCGAGCGAGGCCACGCUGCGAGAAUUGCGUGCACAGCGGCGACACCUUCUCAGCCUGCUCGACACAGAGACUGCCCCCACGACCAUGGCACUCGGCGCCAACAGUGCCGGCUCUCCGGCACUGGGUUACUACAGAGCUUCCGGCUGGCGCUCUUCAGCGCUGCCGUUGCCGCUGCAGCUACAGCAGCGGGCGCCCACCUCUGCAAGUUCAACGUCUUCGUCCUUUACGACUGCUCGCACCUGGUCUGUCGGCUCGCUGCUCGCCCACUCCUCUCUGACGCUCGAGGUGCAGUGCGUCAUGUGCGAGGAGCUUCUCCGACAACUCUGUUGCGCCACACGCGCACGCCAAGCACGGAGUUCUGCCGGUGUUGAUGCCGCCUGUGGCAGCGGCUGCCCUGCACUCGCGCAACUGGUGACGGAGCUGAGCACGGAGCUCGAGCUGAACAGCAGCACCAGCUCAACCGUGCUGACGGUGCUGGCGAAUCACCUGUGCAAGGCUGCUAGCGGUGCCGUCGAUCUUCUUGGUGGAAGUGGUCGGCGCGUGCUGCUGAGUUGGUUGCGCGCACGGCUGCGGCAAGAGCCCAUCCCUCCGGCGGCCGCCAGCGUCACCUCUGCUGCGCAGGCAAGCACCACAUGCCCAGCGGGGGUGCCACAGAUGAUUUUGCUGCGCUGGCGGGAGGCGGCGCAGUCCAUGGUGACGAACAUCCCCGACCGUCGUGCAGGGCUCGCCGAAGAAGCAGCAAUGAAUGAGCGCUUCGUUGGCGUUGACCUCCGACCAUCGCUUGCCUUGGGCGACCGUGAGCCGGCGGCGACGGAUGGUGCGAACAUCAGCCGCUCAGAGUACCACCGCCCACCUCCAGGGCUGCCGCCGCUGUCUUUGCUGCCCCCGAACCUACAUGACCUGCUCGCCGACGGUCAGCUUGUUGGCAUGGGCUACGGCAGUCGCGAGGUGCUGCUGGUCCUCUUCUACAUGCACAUCCACCACACCAGCGGCGUGCAGGAGCGCACCGUAGCCGAUCUUCUCGAAGACGUCUCCUCCUCGCUUGGGACGAAGGCGGCGGCCGCGCUAGAUCGAGAGGCGUUUCGCCAUGCCAUUCGCCUGCUGUGCCGCUGGCGGCUCCUGCGUGUGGUGGAGGCGCACUCACAGCUGCUCGAAAUCUGCGGCAGCGACGCGCGACUGCGCGAAUUUCUCUUGACCGUGCUGUCAAAGCAACCCGCGUGGUGUGAAGCUGAGUUGGGCCUUGACGCGCGCGAGAUCAUGCGCUUCCGCAGCCUCCUGUGACACGCAGCAUCAGCAGCACAGGAACGAGAAACGAAAGGAGGCAGCUGCUGUGGUGUCCGUGUGCGUGACUGUAUGCGUGAUUCUUAUUGGCUGGGAGUACAGGAAGAGCAAGGCAGGGCAUCUCGCGCGUGCACAGCGGACGAAGUCGCCGCUUACCUGUACGUGCACGGAAUCGCGCGCAUACAUCAUCCAGACGAACCGUGCGGCCUGGUAUCUCACUUGUGCACCGCAUGCAGCGCACCUCGACAUU
rnacentral:misc_RNA from 1 species